AUUAGAUACCCUGGUAGUCCACGCAGUAAACGAUGAAUGCUAAUUGUCCGUUGCGAAUGAGCGAUGGGUGAUACAGCGAAAGCGUUAAGCAUUCCACCUGGGGAGUACGCCGGCAACGGUGAAACUCAAAGGAAUUGACGGGGGCCCGCACAAGCGGAGGAACAUGUGGUUUAAUUCGAUGAUACGCGAGGAACCUUACCCGGGCUCAAACGCCGUCUGACGUAGGCUGAAAGGCUUAUUUCUUCGGACAGACGGCGAGGUGCUGCAUGGUUGUCGUCAGCUCGUGCCGUGAGGUGUCGGCUUAAGUGCCAUAACGAGCGCAACCCCUGUCGACAGUUGCUAACAGGUUAGGCUGAGGACUCUGUCGAGACUGCCGGCGCAAGCUGUGAGGAAGGCGGGGAUGACGUCAAAUCAGCACGGCCCUUACGUCCGGGGCGACACACGUGUUACAAUGGCAGGUACAGCGGGAAGCCACCCGGCGACGGGGCGCGGAACCCGAAAACCUGUCUCAGUUCGGAUUGGAGUCUGCAACCCGACUCCAUGAAGCUGGAUUCGCUAGUAAUCGCGCAUCAGCCACGGCGCGGUGAAUACGUUCCCGGGCCUUGUACACCCCGCCCGUCAAGCCAUGGAAGCCGGGGGUACCUGAAGUACGUGACCGCAAAAAGGGUCCUAAGGUAAAACCGGUGACUGGGGCUAAGUCGUAACAAGGUAAC
rnacentral:rRNA from 1 species